GAGAAACCAUCCCACCUCCGUUUCCCUGUUCCACCUCGUAUUUUUUUUCUCGUUCCACCCACGGCUGCCGCAUCCCCUACCACAACCCCCUCCCCCCAAAACCGUACUUUCUUAUCCCUCUUCCCACGUCCCUCACCACCGCAUCAACCUAGCAUAGUCUCAUCCUAAGAGAGUUUCUCCUGAGUGCAGAUCUCCUCGGCGAUGCCUCUCCCUAACGCUUACCACUGGUGGUUCUCUGCCUCCCAUCCACGUGUUGCCCCACCUCGCAGUCCCACCGAUAUCUAGAUGGUCGCAGCCUCCCUUAUCCUCAUGUCCACGACUCCAUGAUCUAGCUAGACUAAUAGGACAAUAACCAUGUUCCUCUUUGGAUAUUGAAUCUAGGUGGUAAGAUUGACCAGGGGAAGCGUUGCUACGAAAUGUGGAUAAAUCACGAAAGGCACAGAUCUGCAGAGGAGCGGGCUCGGCGGGGAGGCGGCCUGUGACAACAUAGGAGGAGCUUGACGCCUUAGAAGACGGGUCAUGUCCAACAUGCCGGCGCCAAGCGCACGGUGGCUGCGGAAGAGGAGAGGGGUGGUGGCGGCGCUACUAGGCUAGAGGUUCCGACAGGGAGGUGGUUCACGGGGGGUUUCAAUCUGACAAGGUAUUUCAUGCUCUUCCUGCACUAUGACAUGGUUACUAUGGCUCCCAGGUAUGUUACCCAACUCCCUAAUUUCACUUGUUCUUUUUUAAUUAACUUACACACACGUCAUGAAAAAUCAUGUUGAUUAGUGCAGACAAAUUCUUUUUUGCACAUAGCUAAGCUUUUGAGUAGUAUAGAAAUAAUCUUAAUUCAUGUUCAUGUUCAUGUUUCAUUGGAGGCUGCAAAACUGGCUCCAACACCUGUGCUGCUAGCUGUCACUUGUCAAUGACCAAUGCAAAAAUGAAAGGGAGACUUGUUGUAAUUUGAAAGGUGCAUGUGCUUGGACUGUUUUUUGUUUCUUCUUGUGACUUCUCAAGCUUGCCAUAUGUUAUUGUUCUAACUACAUCACACUUCUAAGUGAAUAGCAGGAAAAUAAGCUAGCAAAAUAAUACUGAUUUGUUUGGAUACUAAUUGCUAACAAUACACUUGCAAAAUAAAUAAAUAAUGUUUUGCCACAUGUUUGCAAGCAGGAAAAUAGUUCACGUGAAGAGUAACACCAGGGCGUUGGUAUAAGUUGUGCCUGGAAUAUUUGGCAAGUCACUUCCGAAAUUUAAAUAGCAGUAUUUACAUGAGCAAAGGAAAAAUAAGUUAUAUGGACUCCAAGGCCAUCAUUUCCGCCUUCUCAAUUCUCAUCUAUCACCCACAGUUUUAUGUUAGUUCGCAACUCUGUCGUCUUUUGGCAUUGGAAAAUAUCGUGGGGAAAUAAUUCCUUUGAGUUGUCCCUGUGAGGUAUGCAUAAUUGUGUCCAACUAUCCAUGUCACAAUCAUAAUGUAACCUAUCAUUCAGUUAAGUCUGGAUUUUAAUUAUAGCAUGCCAAUAUUGGGUAUAAAUAUAGAGAUAUAGUAAAGAUCCAUUCGUGCAGGUAGAUAGCGUGGAAAUUACUUGUGCUCCCAGUAUCCUGUGAACCAUAAAUAUACGUGGUUAUGAUCCAUCAGGUAGUGUCAACACCAUGAUAAACAUGCCCCUUACAAGAUCUGUAGUAUGGGUCAACAUCUCAUAUGUUUAGAUGGACUACACAUAAUGAUUUGAUAAUUUACAGUUGUUAGGUGUCCCCCGCACUGACCAUCCAACUCGUUUUUUAACUGUGUGCUGCUCUGCAAGAGGCACAGUCCAAGCGAAAGGUGUGAUGCCCAUCCCGUUCUAACUACUAAAGCAAGCGGCGGUGCCGGUUUUUCGAUUUAUGGUCCAUAACUAUGAUAUUUUUUUUGCAAUUUACUCUCUUGACAACUUAGUAUGCUUUUGUUGUGUGCUUCGAUAAAGAACGGGAUGACAAUGAGUAAUGAGUUCAGGUCAUAACCAAGGAGGAGUACAAGUGAGCAUAGUAAAUCUCUACUAUUAAAGGAGAAUAUGUCGUUGUGAUGGUUCAACCUCCUUCAAUCCCCCACCACCACCAUCCUUCGUACGACAACCCACCUCCCCUCCCUACGACCGAGAAACCAUCCCACCUCCGUUUCCCUGUUCCACCUCGUAUUUUUUUUCUCGUUCCACCCAAGGCCGCCACAUCCCCUCGCAUGACCCCCUCCCCCUAAAACCGGUCUUUCUUCUCCCUCUUCCCACGUUCCUCGCCAUCGCAUCAACCCCGCGAAGCCUCAUCCCGAGAGAGCCACUCCUAAGUGCAACUCUCCCCCGGCGAUGCCUUUCCCCGACCUCUUACCAGUGGUUCUCAUGUGCCUCCUAUCCAUGCGUUCCCGCACCUCGUAGUCCCAUCGAUGCCUAGCAGGUCGCAACCUCCCUUAUCCUCAUGUCCACGACUCCAUGAUCUAACCAAAUGAAUAGGACGAUAACCAUGUUCCUCUUUGGAUCUUGGAUCUAGGUGGUAAGAUUGACCAGGGGAAGCGUUGCUACAAAAGGUGGAUAAAUCACAAAAGACACAGAUCUGCAGAGGCGCGGGCUCGGUGGGGAGGCGACCUAUGACAACAUAGGAGGAGCUCGGGGCCUUGGAAGACGGGUCAUGCCCAACAUGUCGGCGUCAAGCGCACGGUGGCUGUGGAAGAGGGAGGGGUGGUGGCGGCCCUACUAGGCUAGAGGUGCCGACGGGGAGGUGGUUCACGGGGGGUUUUAAUCUGACAAGGUGUUUCAUGCUCUUCCUGCACUAUGGCAUGGUUACCACGGCACAUAGGUAUGUUAACCAGGUCCCUAAUUUCUCUUAUUAUUUUUUCAUUAACAUACAAACACGUCAUGAAAAAUCAUGUUGAUUAGUGUAGACAAAUUCUUUUUUGCACAUAGCUAAGCUUUCGAGUAGUAUAGAAAAUCUUAAUUCAUGUUCAUGUUCUUGUUUGUUUAGAGGCUGCAAACCAACGCAUGUGCUGCUAGCUGUCACUUGUCAAUGACCAAUGCAAAAACAAAAGGGAGACUUGUUGUAAUUUAAAACGUGCACGUGCUUGGACUGUUUUUUGUUUCUUCUUGCGACUACUGAAGCUUGGCAUAUGUUAUUGUUCUAACUGCAUCACACUUCUGAGUGAAUAGCAGGAAAAUACACUAGCAAACAAAGAAUGAUUUGUUUGGAUACUAAUUGCUAACAAUACACUUGCAAAAUAAAUAAAUAACGUUUUGCCACAUGUUUGCAAGCAGGAAAAUAGUUCACAUGGAGAGUAACACCAUGGCGUUGGUAGAAGUUGUGCGUGGAACAUUUGGCAAGUCACUUCGAAAAUUUAAAUAGCAGUAUUUACAUGAGCAAAGGAAAAAAGAAGUUAAGAAAACCAUAUUCUCCCAGGUUGGGGCAUAUGGCCUCCAUGGCCAUCAUUUUCGCCUUCUCAAUUCUCAUCUAUCACGCACGUGUUUAUGUUAGUUCGCAACUCUGUCAUCUUUUGGCAUGGAAAAAUAUCGUGGGGAAAUAAUUCCUUUGAGUUGUCCCUGUGAGGUAUGCAUCAUUGUGUCCAACUAUCCAUGUCACAAUCAUAAUGUAACCUAUCAUCCAGUUAAGUCUAGAUUUUAAUUAUAGCAUGCCAAUAUUGGGUAUAAAUAUAGAGAUAAAGUAAAGAUCCAUUCGGGCAGGUAGAUAUCGUGCAAAUUACUUGUGCUCCCAAUAUAAUGUGAACCAUGAAUAUACGUGGUUAUGAUCCAUCAGGUAGUGUCAACACCAUGAUAAACAUGCCCCUUACAAGAUCUGUAGUAUGGGUCUACAUCUCAUAUGUUUAGAUGGGCUACACAUAAUGAUUUGAUAAUUUACAGUUGUUAGGUGUCCCCCGCACUGACCGUGCAACCCUUUCUUUAAUUGUCUGCUGCUCUGCACGGGGCACAGUCCAAGCGAAAGGUGUGCUGCCCACCCCGUUCCAACUACUAAAGCCAGCGGCAGUGGCGGUUUUUCGAUUUAGGGCCCAUAACUAUGAUGUUUUUUUUGCAAUUUACUCUCUUGUCAACUUAGUAUGCUUUUGCUGUGUGCUUUGAGAAAGAACGGGAUGACAAUGAGUAAUGAGUUCAGGUCAUAGCCAAGGAGGAGUACAAGUGUGCAUAGUAAAACAAUAGGGCAAAUCACCACGAUCAUUUAUUUUAACAUCCUAUUAGUCCAAAAGUGUUUGGAGAAAGAUACACCUAUACAUGAACGUUACAAGUCCAUGGAAAUGCAGUGAAAAGCAUCAUAAUUAAGUAACAGCUUAUAAUGUCAAAGGGGAGAACAGAGAUAAAUAAUUGAGAGGGAAGACCAAUUUUUUUAUGGGAUAUUUGAAAUAAAAUUCACAUAUUAGGAAAAAGACCAGUUGAGGAAGGGUCGAAACAGGAUAAAUACAAUCGAUAUUAUUUUGUUGUUCCGUAGCAACGCACGGGUAUUGAGCUAAUGUUGUUGUACGUGGUAACUAUACAAAUGCGAUAAUUGGAGGCCUCACAAUGUUGUUGUACUGUACGGAUAUUAUUUUGGGGAUGGGUCUUCUUCUACGUGGUAACUCUACUAUGCGAUAGUGUUGUUGUUUAUACAUCGAAAAUGAGGGCACUUCGAUGGCAUCCACUAUGUGGUUACUUUGUUGUAAGUUAUAUAUAGGUCAUAUUUAGUGUCAUCAGAUUUGUACUUUAUUUUGCUGAUAUGGAAGGCACCAAGAAAGCUAUGGAUUGUUAAUGGAGAGCACAUGAUCCUCUGUGAAUCCAUAAUACCUAUUAUUGCGCAAAACAACUGUGAAGUAAACAUUCUUACCCUUGAAAGCUUACCAACAGUCCUUGAAAUGAUAAAGUUACCACGUCUAUUGGAAGUUUUGUACCAGCAAACAGAACCGGAUGGUGUCAUAUGUUUAUAACGGUGAUACUUCAUCGCUAGGUAAGCCAUACACGCUAUUAUUUUUUUCAACAGUAGUUCAUGUGUGUCUAUUUUAUAUUUGAGCAUCAUGACUCCUUAGUGUAGUUCAUCAGUAUAUUUGUAUGUUUACUCACUCAUAGUGUUGGAGAUGAUUGUGAUUUGAUCAUCAUGGUUUACAGGAGAGUAUCACAAUGACCUAUAUUGAAUAAGGAUUUGAAUUUAUUAGUUUCAGUCAAGAAUCACAACAAACAUAUCUACAUCGAGGAUAAGAGUGUCACCGAGCCCUGGCUAGAAAUUAUCCUAAUUUGUGGCAUCUGUUGCAAUUUAUCUAGAAUUGUUUUUCAUGAAAAAGUUCCUAAUUAUGAGGUAAUCUUCAAGUGACCAGUGAGUUAACUAGCUAAUUCCAACAUUAUCUUUAUGUGAAGAAUGCAGAGUGUAUUGCUUUUCCUGUUGCGCCGUAGAGGAAAAAGAAAAAUAUGUAAAUAAUCUGUUUAAGUUUUGAGGGUCACCUGUUUUGUCAUUUUAUUCUAUUAUAGGGCAUCUUACCAGCUUAUCUUCUUGAAGUUAAAGACAGAAAUAGAUAGCAUAUUAUCAACUGUAGCACUUGGAUCAACUAUAUUAUAUCCAAACAGUUUUGUUUCAUGAGUGACCAUGCUACGGUCUGAAUUUUGCAGGGAAACUGAAGAAUUGUCAAAAGAUUUACGUUCACGUGCUCUCCUCAUAGUCGGAGCAAGGAACAAAGGAGUUUUUGGAUGAAGCAUUAGUAUUAUAUCCAACAUAAUCCAUCACAACUCCAUAUAUAAUUGUGUUGAGGAAGUCAAACUUUCCGUUUCAUUUGACAUGUAUGUAUAUGCACACGUUUAGAUUUAAGGUGCAUACUUUAUAGAUGCACGCGUUUAGAUUUAAGGUGCAUACUUUAUAGGACAAUAUUGUAUGUAUUUUUUAAUUAUCUCAAAGAAAUCAUUGGCAGUUUGUGCACUCCUUUUAUUGCCGGUUAGCCAAUUUUACUACUUGAGUGAAAAAUUCUUGAGCCAUCCCCAUAAGUGAUCACAUAUGUGAGUCCAUUGUAAUAUUACACUCAUAUAUCAACAACCAAUGAAUGAAAUUACAUUCUAUAUUUGGAUCCAA
rnacentral:lncRNA from 1 species